rnacentral:rRNA from 1 species
AAAGAAGUAAAAAAAUUAGGUAGUAAAGGUGGGCCUGAAACUUAAAAAAUUUGGCGGUGUUUUAAACUAAUUAGAGGAACCUGUUUUAUAAUCGACAUUACCCGUCAAAUCUUACUUAGGACAAUAACUUGUAUAUCGUUGUAAUAAUAAUGUUUAUGAUUAUUAUUAGUUAGAAUUUUAUUUUAGACAUCAGAUCAAGGUUCAGUUUAUAUCUAAGUAAAAAAUGGGUUACAAUGUGGGAAACACACUAUGGAUUUUGUUCUCAAAAAACAAAUGAAAGUGGAUUUAAAAGUAUUUUUAAAAUAGCAUGUUAAAUUGAAUUAGCUCUAGGACAUGC